rnacentral:SRP_RNA from 1 species
GGAGGUCGGCUGUGGACGGGUACCUUGCCAACCCGGUCAGGUCCGGAAGGAAGCAGCCGCAGUAAGUUUCGCUCGGGUCAUACGUUCGGCCUCCCAC